rnacentral:lncRNA from 1 species
GAGCUGGCCCAGCUGCUGCUGCCAAAGCAGCCGCCAAAGCCGCCAAGUAUGGUAAGAUGGGCUCACUCUGCUGUUAUCCCACAGGUCCUGUCUCCUGCCACCUCCCCACCUCAGGGUGCUUCCCUGAUCUGGGCUGAGGCUAUGCACUGCAUGGGGUCCCUGUGGGCUGGGGCAAGGGAUGAGCUUUCUGUAGGGCUGUGCAUGGGAUGAGGUCCUGGCUGUGUCAAGGAAUGCUCUCCAGAGAGCUGGCCUGCAUGGAUGCUUCUAGGUCAUCCAUACAGCUUCUCAUACAUUUGUUCAUCUAUCUCCCUUCUACCCACCCAUCCACACCACCACUCACUCAUCCACCUACCUACCUAUCCAUCCAUCCAUCCAUCCAUCCACCCAUCCAUCCAUCCAUCCAUCCAUCCAUCCAUCCACCCAUCCAUCCACUCCACCAUUCAUCCAUGCCUCCAUCCCACCACCCAUCCACCCACCACUCCAUCUGUACAAUCAACCUAGCCUGCCAUUCCCCUGUUUCAUUCACCAUCUUUCUGCCCGAGCUAGACCCCAACCUUUCUCUCCCUUUUCUUGCAGGAGCAGCUGGCCUGGUUCCCGGUGUAGGCGGCCUGGUUCCCGGCGUAGGUGGCCUUGCUCCUGGAGUAGGUGGCCUUGCUCCUGGAGUAGGUGGCCUUGCUCCUGGUGUAGGUGGCCUGGUCCCCGGUGUUGGAGGUGUCCCAGGUGUUGGAGCUCCAGCAGCAGCCGCAAAAGCAGCAGCCAAGGCAGCCAAAUAUGGUGCUGGUGUUGGAGGGGUGCCAGGCGCUGUGCCCGGUGCUCCUGUUGUGCCAGGAGUGACGCCUGGCGUUGGUGGUGUCCCCGGCUUGGUACCAGGUGUAGGGGUGCCCGGUGCUGGCGUUCUCCCCGGGGCAGGUGAGAGCAUGACAUACCCAGCUGUGUGCAGUGGGAGUGGGAUGCCUGUCCUAACCGCAGUGCCCUUGCUUGCUUUGCAGGCAUCCCUCAGGUCGGGGUGCCGCCUGGUGCUAAGCCUCCCAAAUUUGGUACGUAGCACUGCCACCAGUCCCCAGCCUGCUCCCCUUUGGGCAUCCUAUGUCAUUAUUGGGGUGCUAGUAUUACUCCAUGUCCCUGCAUGCCCUGGCAGAGUGGCCCAGGUCUGGGAGAUGGCACUCUGCACAGGGUGACAGAGUGAGGACAUUUUCCCCAUGCAGGAUGGGUCAGGGCCACCCCCCUGGGGUCACUGUCCCUUUUGUGUGGGCUGGGGGCACCCGGCCUCACUGUCUCUCUCCUGCAGGUGUGCCAGGGGCUGGAGUCCCAGGGGUUGGUGGCAUCCCAGGUAGGUGAUGCAGGGGAUGGGUGCUCUUCUGGGGCAUGGGGCUGCACAGGGAGGGUGCGGGCUGCUGCAGGGCUGGGCAGGGAGUGGGUUGGACCCAGGGCUGGCACUGCAGUAGCAAUGCCUCAUGCAAAUCCCACUGCCAUGUGAGCUGGGAGUGGUGGCAAGGCCGGCACUGCCAUGCCCAGUGUCUUCAGCCCGUUUCCCACCCUGGCCUGAAGCCCACCGCAGGCUUCCCUGAGUGCAGCCCCCAUAGCCCUGCUCUCUGUCCCCAUGGCCACCUGUGGGUGCUUACCUGGGCUCUCCAUCACAGGUGCCCUCGGGGUUGGUGGCCUCGGAGUUGGUGGCCUUGGUGCUGGUGGCCUUGGUGCUGGUGAGUUGUGCUGGUGGGCUUAGUGUUGGAGUCCCAGGGUUUGAAGGGCCGAAAAGGAAAUGGCAUUUUGGUGAUGCAGAGCCACACUGUCCCCUCCCAGCUGUGACUCUCAGGGCUGGGUUUUGGGGAGCGGGGAAGGACAGGGGCAUGGGUCCCAUGGUCCCCAUGUCCCCACCCUGCACUGUCACCGUGCCCUAUCUGUGCCCUGGGGUACAGCAGGGAGGGGAUGGCCACAGCCCCAGCAGGGCACAGGCCAUGGAGUGAGGGGACAGUACAGCAGUGUCCCAGUGUGUGAGACAGCUGGGGACCCUCUGGGCUCAGUUCGGGGGCUGUGCUGAUGCCCCUCUCUGAUGUAGGGCUCUUGUAUCCAGGAGCUGCUGGAAAACCUCCUAAGCCAGGUAAGGAACAGGGACAGCCUUAGCUGCCCCCUGAUGCUACCUCCAUCCCCAUGCCCUCACCCUCACAGGGGCUCUCCCUUCCCACAGGUUUUGGUGUUGGGGGGCUGCAGCCAGGUGAGUGCUGGGGCUGGGGGCUGGGGUGGGACUGCACCACUGCCUGCACUGCUGCACUCACUGUCCCCAUGCCACUGCCUUGCUGGGUGCACCGGGUGGGCACCCAUGGUGGGGACGGGGCUCUUGGAGCAGGUCGCACUCAGCUGUAGGCUGGGGAUGCUGCAGGCAUGCAGGGCUGUCACUGCUUGUCACUGCUGUUACUUUUCCCCCCAGGGGCUGGAGUUCCCGGUUUUGGUGUGUCACCGAUAUUUCCAGGUACCUUGCCCUGUGCCCUGUGCCAUGCCCAUGGGGACACGCAGCACAAGGGGACAUGCAGCACAUAGGGCAUGGCGACACGCAGCAUGUGGGGCAUGGGGACAUGGCCAUGGGGGAGUGGGGCAGAGCUGGGCUGGGGGACAUGGGGCAAAGCAUCCCGACGCCAAUGAGGUUUUGCUGUGCUUGCAGGUGGGGUUGCCGGUCAGCUGGGAUUUGGCGGUGAGUGCACUCUGGUCACAUGCAUGGGGACAUGGAGAUGUUGGGUUGGUGGUCCCCUCACCCUCACAGGGCACUUGUCCCCACGUUACCCCGCACCCCACUCACUGUUCUGCCUUGUCCCUGCAGGGAAGCCCCCCAAGACCUACGGAGGAGCCCUGGGGGCCCUGGGCUUUAGAGGUGAGUGCUGCCCGGCAUCCCCCCACCCCUCCUUCCAGCACCUUUCUGGGGCUUGGGGGACUGAACCACUGUCCCCCCUCCAUCCUCAGGUGGAGUUGGCUGCGCACAAGGGAAAUACUGCGGGAGGAAGCGGAAGUAACCGCCCACCGCCACCGAUGACCUCAUGAACUUUGGUGCUACUGCAUGGUCCAGAAUGUAAAUCCCCACCAAGCUGAGACCCCCCCGGCCCCACGCUCCCGGCAGGGACCCCACGGCAGCGUCAGGGGCCACCCCCCCACCCCGGGAACCCCCCCAGCCCCAGCAGGGAGCGCGGAAUAAACUGCGGGGAGCAGCCGUCCCCCUUGGUGCU